GUGCUCACUACAGCAGCACAUACGCUAAAACUGGAACCAUACAGAGAAGAUUUGCAUGGCCCCUGUUCAAGGUUGACAUGCAAAAAUAUAUAUAUAUAUAUAUAUAU
rnacentral:snRNA from 1 species